GACGAACGCUGGCGGCGUGCUUAACACAUGCAAGUCGAACGGAAAGGCCCUGCUUUUGUGGGGUUCUCGAUUGGCGAACGGGUGAGUAACACGUGAGUAACCUGCCCUUGACUUUGUGAUAACUUCAGGAAACUGGGGCUAAUACCGGAUAGGAGCUCCUGCUCCAUGUGGGGGGUUGGAAAGUUUCGGCGGUUGGGGAUGGACUCGCGGCUUAUCAGCUUGUUGGUGGGGUAGUGGCUUACCGAGGCUUUGACGGGUAGCCGGCCUGAGAGGGUGACCGGCGACAUUGGGACUGAGAGACGGCCCAGACUGCUACGGGAGGCAGCAGUGGGGAAUAUUGCACAAUGGGCGGAAGCCUGAUGCAGCAACGCCGCGUGCGGGAUGACGGCCUUCGGGUUGUAAACCGCUUUCGCCUGUGACGAAGCGUGAGUGACGGUAAUGGGUAAAGAAGCACCGGCUAACUACGUG
rnacentral:rRNA from 1 species